UACACAUGCAAGUCGAGGGGCAUCAGGAAGAAAGCUUGCUUUCUUUGCUGGCGACCGGCGCACGGGUGAGUAACACGUAUCCAACCUGCCCUUUACUCGGGGAUAGCCUUUCGAAAGAAAGAUUAAUACCCGAUAGUAUAAUGAUUCCGCAUGGUUUCAUUAUUAAAGGAUUCCGGUAAAGGAUGGGGAUGCGUUCCAUUAGGUUGUUGGUGAGGUAACGGCUCACCAAGCCUUCGAUGGAUAGGGGUUCUGAGAGGAAGGUCCCCCACAUUGGAACUGAGACACGGUCCAAACUCCUACGGGAGGCAGCAGUGAGGAAUAUUGGUCAAUGGGCGAUGGCCUGAACCAGCCAAGUAGCGUGAAGGAUGACUGCCCUAUGGGUUGUAAACUUCUUUUAUAUUAGAAUAAAGUGCAGUAUGUAUACUGUUUUGUAUGUAUAAUAUGAAUAAGGAUCGGCUAACUCCGUGCCAGCAGCCGCGGUAAUACGGAGGAUCCGAGCGUUAUCCGGAUUUAUUGGGUUUAAAGGGAGCGUAGGUGGACUGGUAAGUCAGUUGUGAAAGUUUGCGGCUCAACCGUAAAAUUGCAGUUGAUACUGUCAGUCUUGAGUACAGUAGAGGUGGGCGGAAUUCGUGGUGUAGCGGUGAAAUGCUUAGAUAUCACGAAGAACUCCGAUUGCGAAGGCAGCUCACUGGACUGCAACUGACACUGAUGCUCGAAAGUGUGGGUAUCAAACAGGAUUAGAUACCCUGGUAGUCCACACAGUAAACGAUGAAUACUCGCUGUUUGCGAUAUACAGUAAGCGGCCAAGCGAAAGCAUUAAGUAUUCCACCUGGGGAGUACGCCGGCAACGGUGAAACUCAAAGGAAUUGACGGGGGCCCGCACAAGCGGAGGAACAUGUGGUUUAAUUCGAUGAUACGCGAGGAACCUUACCCGGGCUUAAAUUGCAGUGGAAUGAUGUGGAAACAUGUCAGUGAGCAAUCACCGCUGUGAAGGUGCUGCAUGGUUGUCGUCAGCUCGUGCCGUGAGGUGUCGGCUUAAGUGCCAUAACGAGCGCAACCCUUAUCUUCAGUUACUAACAGGUCAUGCUGAGGACUCUGGAGAGACUGCCGUCGUAAGAUGUGAGGAAGGUGGGGAUGACGUCAAAUCAGCACGGCCCUUACGUCCGGGGCUACACACGUGUUACAAUGGGGGGUACAGAAGGCAGCUACCUGGUGACAGGAUGCUAAUCCCAAAAGCCUCUCUCAGUUCGGAUCGAAGUCUGCAACCCGACUUCGUGAAGCUGGAUUCGCUAGUAAUCGCGCAUCAGCCACGGCGCGGUGAAUACGUUCCCGGGCCUUGUACACACCGCCCGUCAAGCCAUGGGAGCCGGGGGUACCUGAAGUACGUAACCGCAAGGAGCGUCCUAGUAAAA
rnacentral:rRNA from 1 species